UGCAGAGAAAAUUUCCGCGUUUUGGGGCAGGAAAAGGGAAUUUUUGUAUGUAGUUCUAUAUUUGACCGCUAGAUGGUGUUGUGGCGAAAGUUUUCUUUUGUUUUUUAAUAUUUUUUUAUGACACUUUCGGCGUGCCAUAGAAAACACUUAAACAAGUCGGUGAUUUUCGUUAGUUGGAAAUAAUCCUAUCGCGACCUUGUUCGCCCCAGUGUCUUGCAAGAAUACACACCCAAAUCGGAUCAAUACGAGAACGUGAAAAUGGCUGCAACUGGCCUUCGAAAACUUCUGAAUUUUUCGGCGAAUACCAUUUUGGUUCGAAAUAGAAUUCAAGUCAGAAAUAUUGUUACUACUGAGACUGGAUCAAUCCUUGAAGCACCUCAAAAAAAAGGAAUACUGGGAUUUGCUGGAGUGGCAGUUGCAGUUACCACAGGAAUAACCAUUGGUUCACUUAUCAGUAAAGAUGUGGCCAGCUUUCUGGAAGAAAAUGACCUUUUUGUUCCAUCUGAUGAUGACGAUGAUUAACAAAAUUCAAUAUGUUCAAUGUCCUUGAUUGUUAGCAAAAAAAAGUUACACAAAUAGUAUUAACUCACACAAGUUUGUUUAGUACAUUUCACAUUUUUAUCAGUUA